ACGAACGCUGGCGGCGUGCUUAACACAUGCAAGUCGAACGGUGAAGCGCCUUCCUUUUUGGUGGGUGUGGAUGAGUGGCGAACGGGUGAGUAACACGUGAGUAACCUGCCCCCUUCUUCUGGAUAACCGCAUGAAAGUGUGGCUAAUACGGGAUAUUCUGGGUCUGUCGCAUGAUGGGUCUGGGAAAGAUAUUGUUUCGGUGGGGGAUGGGCUCGCGGCCUAUCAGCUUGUUGGUGGGGUGAUGGCCUACCAAGGCGGUGACGGGUAGCCGGCCCGAGAGGGUGGACGGUCACACUGGGACUGAGACACGGCCCAGACUCCUACGGGAGGCAGCAGUGGGGAAUAUUGCACAGUGGGCGCAAGCCUGAUGCAGCGACGCCGCGUGAGGGAUGGAGGCCUUCGGGUUGUGAACCUCUUUCGCCAGUGAAGCAGGCCUGCCUCGUUUGUGGGUGGGUUGACGGUAGCUGGAUAAGAAGCGCCGGCUAACUACGUG
rnacentral:rRNA from 1 species